rnacentral:lncRNA from 1 species
GUUCUCACAAUGGGGCCAUAGGCCUCAGUUCAUCAAGAGAACUGAGCCUUUGAGGAUUUGCUAGGAAACUCUUGACUGAAGGGACGCCGGUGGAUGAAUCACUUUGUUUCUUAUGGAAAAGAUGAAAACUUUCUUUGUGGUUAUCUUGGCUACUGACUAUUUCUUACAUAUUUCUGGUAACAAUCCAUAUGCGAACAAUCUAAGAAACAGAAAAAGCCAAGAAACUGCUUCAUUUAAGUUCAAAUAUGAAAGAAAUUGACAAAAGCAAGUAACAUGGGAAUAGGAGUUUAUCUUCCCUUACAAGAAGAAUGUAAUAUGAAAGCUGCGAUUAAG